GUCCAUGCCGUAAACGAUGUCUACUAGCCGUUGGGGCCUUUGAGUCUUUAGUGGCGCAGCUAACGCGAUAAGUAGACCGCCUGGGGGAGUACGGUCGCAAGACUAAAACUCAAAUGAAUUGACGGGGGGCCCGCACAAGCGGUGGAGCAUGUGGUUUAAUUCGAUGCAACGCGAAGAACCUUACCUGGCCUUGACAUAGUAGAAACUUUCCAGAGAUGGGAUUGGUGCCUUCGGGAAUCUACAUACAGGUGCUGCAUGGCUGUCGU
rnacentral:rRNA from 1 species